AUGGCCGUGGGAGUCUCACCUAAACCAAAUCAGUGGAGCGGGAGGAAAAGAGGAGUCUCACCCCUUUCCUUCAGCUUGUUGGCAUCUCACCAAGGAAGAAGAGUCUCUCUUCAUGAAACAAAGGUCUAAUUUUAUCUGAACUCAAAUAUUUUUUGAAUUUUCUUCUUCAAACCUACCCUUAUAUAGAGAGGGAGGCGGGAAAAAGAUAAGGACUACAAUUUCGAAUUUAUUUGGACUCUAAACCAGAUAAGGACUCUUUUUAAACCUUCAAUCUUUUGAUUGAUCUCCUAAACAACUUACCAAAUGGGCUUAUCCACAUGUGGAAGCUUUUAUUGGCGUGAGAAGGGGAAGGAUUUCAGCCGCAAGCAGUUAGAAUCUUUCUUGCGCAUGAAAUCAAAAUCCACUCCUUCGGACUCAAUCCAAAUGUUAUGUGGUUAACCAAUGACCCACUUGACAUCUUGGACUCAAUCUAAUUUAGACGUCAAGGACACUAAACCAUUGUGAAUUAAUUCACUUAUUACAAGGACUCGA
rnacentral:lncRNA from 1 species